CCUACGGGAGGCAGCAGUGAGGAAUAUUGGACAAUGGGCGCAAGCCUGAUCCAGCCAUGCCGCGUGCAGGAUGAAGCAUCUAUGGUGUGUAAACUGCUUUUAUACAGGAAGAAACCUCCCGACGUGUCGGGAAUUGACGGUACUGUAAGAAUAAGGAUCGGCUAACUCCGUGCCAGCAGCCGCGGUAAUACGGAGGAUCCAAGCGUUAUCCGGAAUCAUUGGGUUUAAAGGGUCCGUAGGCGGGCCAGUAAGUCAGUGGUGAAAUCUCUCCGCUCAACGGGGAAAUGGCCAUUGAUACUGCUGGUCUUGAAUUAUUAGGAAGUAACUAGAAUAUGUAGUGUAGCGGUGAAAUGCUUAGAGAUUACAUGGAAUACCAAUUGCGAAGGCAGGUUACUACUAAUGGAUUGACGCUGAUGGACGAAAGCGUGGGUAGCGAACAGGAUUAGAUACCCUGGUAGUCCACGCCGUAAACGAUGGAUACUAGCUGUUGGGGGCAACUUCAGUGGCUAAGCGAAAGUGAUAAGAUCCACCUGGGGAUACGUUGCAAGAANAGAAGACGAAAGAAAGUAGAGACGUGAGAGAGACGACGGACGACGACGAGGGAGGAGG
rnacentral:rRNA from 1 species